GAUGAACGCUGGCGGCGUGCCUAAUACAUGCAAGUCGAGCGAACGGACGAGAAGCUUGCUUCUCUGAUGUUAGCGGCGGACGGGUGAGUAACACGUGGAUAACCCACCUAUAAGACUGGGAUAAAUUCGGGAAACCGGAGCUAAUACCGGAUAAUAUUUUGAACCGCAUGGUUUAAAAGUGAAAGACGGUCUUGCUGUCACUUAUAGAUGGAUCCGCGCUGCAUUAGCUAGUUGGUAAGGUAACGGCUUACCAAGGCAACGAUGCAUAGCCGACCUGAGAGGGUGAUCGGCCACACUGGAACUGAGACACGGUCCAGACUCCUACGGGAGGCAGCAGUAGGGAAUCUUCCGCAAUGGGCGGAAGCCUGACGGAGCAACGCCGCGUGAGUGAUGAAGGUCUUCGGAUCGUAAAACUCUGUUAUUAGGGAAGAACAUAUGUGUAAGUAACUGUGCACAUCUUGACGGUACCUAAUCAGAAAGCCACGGCUAACUACGUG
rnacentral:rRNA from 1 species